rnacentral:rRNA from 1 species
UACGUAGGGACCGAGCGUUGUCCGGAUUCAUUGGGCGUAAAGAGCUCGUAGGCGGCCACUCAAGUCGAAUGUGAAACCUCGAGGCUUAACCUCGAGCCUGCAUUCGAUACGGGCAGGCUAGAGUUCGGUAGGGGAGACUGGAAUUCCUGGUGUAGCGGUGAAAUGCGCAGAUAUCAGGAGGAACACCGGUGGCGAAGGCGGGUCUCUGGGCCGAUACUGACGCUGAGGAGCGAAAGCGUGGGGAGCGAACAGG